rnacentral:rRNA from 1 species
UACGGGAGGCAGCAGGGGGAAUAUUGCACAAUGGGCGCAAGCCUGAUGCAGCCAUGCCGCGUGUAUGAAGAAGGCCUUCGGGUUGUAAAGUACUUUCAGUCGUGAGGAAGGUGUUAAGGUUAAUAACCUUAGCAAUUGACGUUAGCGACAGAAGAAGCACCGGCUAACUCCGUGCCAGCAGCCGCGGUAAUACGGAGGGUGCGAGCGUUAAUCGGAAUUACUGGGCGUAAAGGGCACGCAGGCGGUUAAUUAAGUUGGAUGUGAAAUCCCCGGGCUUAACCUGGGAAUGGCAUUCAAGACUGGUUAGCUAGAGUCUUGUAGAGGGGGUAGAAUUCCAUGUGUAGCGGUGAAAUGCGUAGAGAUGUGGAGGAAUACCGGUGGCGAAGGCGGCCCCUGGACAAAGACUGACGCUCAUGUGCGAAAGCGUGGGGAGCAAACAGGGAUUAGAUACC